rnacentral:lncRNA from 1 species
CUGGCUCGGAGUUCGACCAGAGUCUUCGACUCUUCGUGCCGAGCCGGAGCUGCAGGGCGAUCGGCUGCCGAGCGGAGCGGAGCAGAACACUGUGCGUGUCCUCCGGGCGGCGAUGCAGUGCGCUGCACGCCAAAGAAGAAGAAGCGCGUCAAGAACGGGAGGCCGCUGGAACUUGGAGCCCACUACACCAGGAGGCACAGGCACCGUGGCG